GUGCUCUGAAUGUCAAAGUGAAGAAAUUCAAGUAAGCGCGGGUCAACGGCGGGAGUAACUAUGACUCUCUUAAAGCUCAUUUCUUACCGACGAAUUGAAUAAGGCCCGGGGUAGAACUCUGGCUGGACUGAAUGAGUUGACAUCGCGUACAGAGAUCGAAACGUACUGGGCGAACAGGUUGUAUAUGUCUGUUGAUGGUCGCGGCUUACGUGAAGCGGGACUUUUUCGUCCCCAACACGGCUGGGUGUGUCAGCCCACGCGUUUGCUAACAGGUCAAGAUUACCGAAACAGUAUCAAGCUGCGAAUAAAUGCCCUACCAUCGAGGUCUCGUACCACGAGGGGCAGAAAUGAAUUGGAACGGCAAUGUCGUGCAGGUUGUGAUGCUCCCGAAACAACAAACCACAUCCUGCAAAAUUGUUACCGUACGCAUGGGAGGCGGGUAGCAAGACAUAACUGUGUAGUCAAUAACCUUAAGAGGAUUCUUGAGGAGAAGGGCCACACAGUACACGUCGAACCAAGUUUGCAGCUGGAAACCUCGGUAAGUAAACCAGACCUGGUGUGUAUCCGUGACAAUCACGCUUGCGUGAUUGAUGCGCAGAUUAUAACGGAUGGACUGUUUCUCGACGAUGUGCACCAUCGCAAAGUUGAGAAAUAUAAAAGACCGGAAGUUAUAUCUGCACUGCGGAGAGAAUUCGGAGUGUCGGGCAACGUCGAAGUCCUAUCCGCGACGUUAAACUGGCGUGGGAUCUGGAGCAAUCAAUCCGUUAGAAGAUUGAUAGCAAAGGGUCUCAUCUCAUCCGGUGACAGCAAUGUCAUUAGCGCCAGAGUGGUAACAGGCGGACUAUAUUGCUUCAGACAGUUCAUGUAUCUCGCAGGUUACACUCGAGAUUGGACUUAGCCUAUACACUAUGUUGGAGAGAAGACGCUUGCUACCUAGGCAAAAUGUGAAAUUAGGUAUAAACAUCGUGGUUGUAAAACUUGAGGUGGGUUUUUAGUACGUAUGCGUGAUUACUUCGUAAUCAUGAAUCGUGCAUGCUAGUGGGGUUUGGCCUCCACUAGUAUCUUUGAAGAUUUUCCUUCCUCAGCGAUCAAAAAAAAAAAAAAAAAAAAUAGCCAAAUGCCUCGUCAUCUAAUUAGUGACGCGCAUGAAUGGAUUAACGAGAUUCCUACUGUCCCUAUCUACUC
rnacentral:ncRNA from 1 species